GCAAACUCCAUAAAAGACAUUUGAAUAUUACAAAUUAUACGUGAAGUGCAACAACACCAUAUGCAUGUUUGGGAUUUCAUUUCAAAUUAUUUUGUUUUAGGAAAAUUUCAUUUGAUUUAGAAAAUAUUUAAAGGGACCACUCACACAAAAAUUCACAGGUUCAUGACACACCUAACUUCCCGCGUGCCAACCCUAACAAACUCAAAAUCAAGUGCAAGUUUGUAAUGCCUCUCUCAAACAAAACCAACUCAGCUAGCACUGAGUCAUGAAACCAAGCCCCUGGCUAAACAAUUCUUUGACCAUGAGUUAUCUGGACCUUCCUUUCACCCCAACCCAAGUCCCCAACCCCUAUAAAUAAAUUGUUACCCUAUCUCCAAAAGUCCACACGGUUUCAUUCACACACAUACAAAAAUAUUCUUCCUUACAGCCUGAGGCCAUUGCAAGUUUCUUCCUCUCUCAAGUCUCAAAACUUGCAAUGCCCUCGGCGGUAAGGAAGAUUAUUGUGUACUGAAGUGUCACUGCCCAUUCUGAACCAAGGCUGACAUCAAAGAUCAUAUCAAAAAUGGACAACAAUGAGCAAUGAUGCUCCAACCAGUUUCUAUUGUGUUUAUGUGUUUUUAUUAUUUAUUUAUGCUAUUAGCCCUGUUCCUCUUUAUCUUCAAAUUAUGUUUCUAUAUUAUAAAUAAUCCUGUGUGUUUAUUUAUAUUAAUUUGAAGAGGGCUAAUAGCAUAAACACAUAAAUACAAUAGAAACUGGUUGGGGUAUCACUGCGUGUUGUCCAUUCUUGAUAUGGUCUCUGUGAGGUUUCUUGCACAGAGGCAACUCAUCAUCCCAAAUGAAAAUUUCGAUGUUCACCAGAAAAGUAAUACUUUAAAAAAAAAAAAAAUUCUACAGAGUAUUUGAUUUAUAAUUAUUGUUUUCCUUAAAAAUCGAAUGGGUUUGUUUUGUUUUGUUUUUUUUUUUGUAGAGGAUAAUAUUGAUGGUAAAGUGAACGAUCUGAAAAAAACAGCUACAAAGAAAGGGAAUCGUAAGACUCUUAAUGACAUAACAAAACAAAUCAUCAAACAUUCAUAUCGAAACGAAAAAGAAUGUACCAAAAAAAAGAGGAACUUUUUAAUGUAGCCCAGGAAAUGUUUUUACACGAUCACAAAAAAUGCAUUUAGUCACAACAACAAAGUACAAUGAAUUCAUUUUACCUGGACUUGGUUCUUCCAGGACACGGUAACUAACUAUAUAUGCUUCUCUACUCGAUUAUAUUCGUUAACAUUGUCUUAUUUAUGUGUUGUUUUACUAUUCAAUGUCUUUAUGUUUUUUGAUUUGAUUGUCAAUUUUGUUUCGCGGUGGAAAUCGUUAUCUAGAUCUUAUAGUGAAUGGUAUUUUGAUACUUGGGACCUACUGGGAACAAAAUAUAUGGCCACUCUACUAAGAUAUUGGAACGGGUACUUCGCAAAUUUUUGGUUUGUGUUCAAUCACAGUUCUCUGUUUGUUGUUGUAUAUUGCUUGACUGACGACCCUAGGAAGGGAAUGUUGUUAAACUUGGGAAUAUGCGUAAUCCAAGUUCUUAAGUUUGUUUGCAAUUUUCUGUGAUAAAGAUUUGGGGCCAAAAUUCAUGAAUCCAAAAGAGUAUGGAAGAUGAAAUUGGUGCAGAUGUAUUCAAGCAUCUUGUUGCCUAAAAAUCUAAAAUCAAUACCUCACGGGAAAAUAUUCUCAUGUUAUUGUCCAAAAGAUAUAUAUAUAUAUAUAUAUAUUAUUAUCUUUGUUUGCUUGUAAUAUUUGAUAUAUUUUUUAUGCUACCUUGUGUUAAUUUUUAUGCAUAACUUAGUUCUGUUGUAUUAAAAUCCCCUAUGUAUCAAAGAAAAAGGAGGGAGAUCCUGGAGCAAGGAAAGCGCUGAUACUUUCACUUCAGUAAAAAGUUUGCUGUCUAAAAUAUCUUAAUGCUCAUUAUUAAGUAACUCCCAAAGUUUCCAUUUGUGCAUGUAGGUGUGAGAAUGAAAUCUAGAAAGGUCUUGUUUCCUUGAUUUUGAGAAAUUUUUAUCAUAUAUUUGGGUUGGAAAUACAUUUUGGCUUAUUUUUUCACUUGGUCUUAAAAAGUUUUUUUUUUUUUUGGGUGGCAAUCACCCACUUUAAAGGAGGUCAUAAUCGAUUAGGAGACAAGAAUUGCAGACUGAAAUUAAUGGGUUAAUGGCUUAAUGCAGAUAAGGGUUUAGAUACAUAAUAAGCCAAAAGAAAUUUGAAAAAAAAAAAAAAAAAUGUCUUGAAAAGUCUGAGAUCGUUUAAGAUUCAAAUGAUCUCUCUCCACCCCCCCCCCCCCCCCUUUUUUAUUUUAAUCUGAUAACUCUCUCUUGUAUUACUCUCAAGUUGUGGGUUGUGGCAAAGUACAUGCAUGACUAUUUAAGUUAUUUUUUCUCCCUCCUGUGCAGAUUCUGUAUGUACUUCUGAACAUCAAGAUGAUUCUUUUUCUCUUUCCUAAUCCUAUAUCUCUACUUUGAUAUAAUGUAAAAUGCUGAUCUUUAUAGCCCUUGCUGCUACCCAGAGCCGGUGGAGUUGCCCAUGCAUGGCUGAUUGGUUAGAAUCUUCAACAGAUUGGACCUCCCCUCCUUGUUCUCCUUUACAUUGAGAUUCUCCACCAUCCACCCCUUUUGCAUGGGAAUCUGAGGCGGUUGAAUUUGUUCUGAAACAAGAAGUUGAUAUCUGAAUUAUUGAAUGUCAUUUCUUUCUUUUCUAUAUGUUCAUAAAAUGUAAUUCAAAGUUCACAUUUUGAUGCUAAUGAUUCUUUCAAUUCUUCAUAAGAACUGUCCACUAUAUUGUUCGAAGAGACAAUGGCACAUAAGUACAAAUGUGUUUCAGGCUUACAAGUAGUACAACAGUAGGAGAGUGAAGUAGAGAAGGGAACUAUGCCAAGACUUCGGUAGAUAAACUUGGGAACGUUGCCUCUGUUUUAAAGCAGUCGUAGUGGAUGAUUGUUUGCGUUUAACUGAGUGCUGCCAUUAUGGUUCUUUAUUUUUAUCCACUUAUGUUAUAUGGUAAUUAAAUUUUAUGUGGUUUAUUGAAUAAUACAUUAUUAUUGUGCUGUUAUCUUAAAAUCA